CACGAGUUUUCUCACCGGAUUGCUUCCUCAAGGUAUCACAUUCUUGAGUAAGGUUCUCCCUGCUAGCGUGUGUCUACGAUGGAUGAUAGUCAAUCUAAGUCACAUCGUGAGGAUGGCUAGCAUUGUGUAUAAUUUACAAAAAGAGUAAACCGAAAAAACAAGCAGAUGGGUACUACUUAAUUGAGUCUCUCUGUGCAAACUCUGUAUGUUUGCACGGAUCCAUGAAACCUAAGUUCUCAAUCCAUAUGUAACAUCCGGAGC